GACGAAGGGGGCUAGCGUUGCUCGGAAUCACUGGGCGUAAAGCGCACGUAGGCGGAUUGCUAAGUCAGGGGUGAAAUCCUGGAGCUCAACUCCAGAACUGCCCUUGAUACUGGCGGUCUCGAGUCCGGGAGAGGUGAGUGGAACUGCGAGUGUAGAGGUGAAAUUCGUAGAUAUUCGCAAGACCACCAGUGGCGAAGGCGGCUUGCCAGAAUGCGCUCGACGGUGAGGGAUGAAAGCUGGGGGAGCAAACCGG
rnacentral:rRNA from 1 species